UUUUACCCUUUUUGUCUGUAAAUUCUGCAUCUUUUUUGUUUACAGAUUAUAGACUAUACACAUGAUACUUUUACUGGGACCAGAGUAUUACUUCUAGGCAAGUUCAAAAUAAAACCCGCCACUCCUCAUUCUGUGAAUGUGUGUGUGUGUGUGUCAUGGCAUCUUGUCUCUGUGUUGCAUCAUGUAGGAUCCAAAAGGUGAAAAGAUCCCUGCAGAUCUCUGCAGUCUCUCAAGUUUAUUUCAUUUUGAUUCAUCCAGGAAGCAGGACAAGCACCACAAAAGGGCUCUCCCUCCCUUGGCUCCUUGCAUUCCCUUCUCCUUGCAGACCAGGCCGGGCGCUGGGCCAACCACUUCGUCUGUCUACCUCCUUCCCCGGUGAGCCCAUGCUCUUCUGCUCUUGACACUUUGAGCCGCCUGCAAUUCUUUUCUCUAUUCGAAAAUUCCCAAAGCAUCAGUACUUUGUAUCAGGAUACACCAUGUUAUUUCUGCAAAUUUCCAUUAUGCUUGUAUUGCAGAGAAGCUACCCUGUUGCGGGCUGACCUGGAGGCGGCUCCUCCAUGUUGACACAAUUGCACGAGCAACGUGCUACUGACCACGCAAGCUUCCUCAAGGAGCUCGUGCCCAACGAUACUGAAAGGAAAAACUGCUCCAGUUUUGAACUUCUUAUCCAGUCAUGCUAUUACUUAGUGAAAAAUGGAAAGAAAGUGUAUUGCAAUUGAUCUCUCUUAGACCCUGUCAAUCCUCUAUUUAUCCUUUGUUUGCUUGUUUUUUGGCCUGUAAUUCAAGAACUUUGACCUUCAUAAUUCGGUUUUUGGUUAA